rnacentral:rRNA from 1 species
CCUACGGGAGGCUGCAGUGGGGAAUAUUGGACAAUGGGCGAAAGCCUGAUCCAGCCAUGCCGCGUGUGUGAAGAAGGCCUUCGGGUUGUAAAGCACUUUCAGUGGGGAAGAAAGCCUUGGGGCUAAUACCCUCGAGGAAGGACAUCACCCACAGAAGAAGCACCGGCUAACUCCGUGCCAGCAGCCGCGGUAAUACGGAGGGUGCGAGCGUUAAUCGGAAUUACUGGGCGUAAAGCGCGCGUAGGCGGUCUGAUAAGCCGGUUGUGAAAGCCCCGGGCUCAACCUGGGAACGGCAUCCGGAACUGUCAGGCUAGAGUGCAGGAGAGGAAGGUAGAAUUCCCGGUGUAGCGGUGAAAUGCGUAGAGAGCGGGAGGAAUACCAGUGGAGAAGGCGGCCUUCUGGACUGACACUGACGCUGAGGUGCGAAAGCGUGGGUAGCAAACAGGAUUAGAUACCCCAGUAGUC